rnacentral:ncRNA from 1 species
UGGUUAUUGCAGGGGUACUGGCAACAGUUGAGAGAAUACCCUUUGAACCUGUUUGUUAAGACAAGUGUAGGGAGCAAUAGUGUUGAGAAG